rnacentral:tRNA from 1 species
GUUGCCUUGGCAGAGUUAUGCACUGGACUUAGGAUCCAAUAAUGUGGGUUCAACCCCACAGGUAAUACU